rnacentral:rRNA from 1 species
AGCAGCCGCGGUAAUUCCAGCUCCAAUAGCGUAUAUUAAAGUUGUUGCAGUUAAAAAGCUCGUAGUUGAAUUUCGGGGUCAGUAGGUUGGUCAUGCCACUGGUAUGUACUGGCCUCACUGAUUCCUCCUUCCUGAUGAGCCGUAAUGCCAUUAAUUUGGUGUUGCGAGGAAUCUGGACCGUUACUUUGAAAAAUUAGAGUGUUUAAAGCAGGCUAACGCUUGAAUACAUUAGCAUGGAAUAAUGAAAUAGGACGUUUGAUUCUAUUUUGUUGGUUUCUAGGAUCGACGUAAUGAUUAAUAGGGAUAGUUGGGGGCAUUAGUAUUCAAUUGUCAGAGGUGAAAUUCUUGGAUUUAUUGAAGACUAACUACUGCGAAAGCAUUUGCCAAGGAUGUUUUCAUUAAUCAAGAACGAAAGUUAGGGGAUCGAAGACGAUCAGAUACCGUCGUAGUCUUAACCAUAAACUAUGCCGACUAGGGAUCGGAUGAUGUUAAUUUUUAAUGUACUCA